rfam:Nematostella vectensis strain CH2 x CH6 NEMVEscaffold_350_Cont24649, whole genome shotgun sequence.
UCCAGGAUGGCCGAGUGGUUAAGGCGUUGGACUUAAGUUCCAAUGUACGAAUGUACGCGUGGGUUCGAACCCCACUCCUGGUA